CAUUCUUCUUUAAAUCGAUAAUAGAUUCGAGUAAUUGAUUAUUUUGACUCAUAGAAAAAUAAUUUAAGGGGUUUAUUACAUUUUUUUAUGAUUUUGAUUCAAUAAUUUUUAGCAAAAUUAGUUUUAAUCUUUGAUAAUUUAUAUAUGAUCGUGUUUCAAGUGUUUAAUGGUAAUGAUUUAGUUAAUUUUUUGUUUAUUGGUGUUGUAAUGGUGGUAGUAUAUGUGUGUUGUUAUGGUGGUGAUGGUGGAAGGUGUAGUUGCAGCAAUGGCAGUGGUGGUGGUUGCUGCAGCACAAGUGUUGGUGCUUGUCCUGAUGGUGGUGGUGGUGGAUGUUGUUUGUAGUGGAGGUGAUGGUGGUUAAUUUUUUUUUUGUAGUAGUGAGGGUGUGGUGUUGGUGAUAACAUCAUUGAUGUUGUUAGUAUAAAAGCAGCAAUAAAGUGGUAGUUGAGAUGGUGGCAGAUGCAAAAUGUGUAAUUGGUACGGGAUACAAUUGUUUGUUGUUGGCUAUGGUGGUGGUAUUGUAUGAUAAUGUUACUGUUUUGUAUUCUUGAAUCCAGGAUAAUCAGGCCAAUGAGCUUACACGCUGCUGCUUUAUUGGAUUACCAGAUCCCAGAGAGAGAUAGAGACGCAGAGGGGGUUGAAGAAAGAGGAAGAGAAUUCUGUGUGUUUAAAUAUGAUAUCUCCUCUUUCCAUUAAUUAAUGUUUCUUGCUCAAAUGAGUGUCCCAACUGCGAGAUAGGUACAUUUAAGGAUUCUACUAUAAUGAUUUUUUAUGGUGAUCUUGGGUUGAGCGAGGAUCACUUUAAAAUUGCCAGCGAGCACCAUUGAAAGUUGUUGCUGUAUGUUAUUCUCUGUAUUCAAAGAUGACUCUAUAUUUUGGGGACAACUUGAGAAAGUUGCUUUCACUUUUGGAGGCAACCUGAUCUAGUUGAUUCCGUAUGUGAAGGCAACUUGAGAAAUUAUGGUGGUAGUGGAUGUUGCAGUGGAGGUGGUUUGUUGUGUUAGCAGUAGUGAUGAUGGUAGUGGAUAUUGCAGUCGUGGUGAGUGUAGUUGCGGGAGACAAUAUGGACAUGUGUUGGAUGCGCUCAAACUACUAGGUUAAAAUGGUUGUUGCAGAGAUUACUGUUAACACAAGCUCCUUUGAAGAAUGAUCAGAAACGAUAUGUUGUUGAAUGCUUUUUCAAAGGAAAAUGAUUUCCUUUUGAAUCAACUUAUGCUCGUUUACAUUACCGGAGAUAACUUCUGCUAGUUGCUUCCGCUA